CACCCUGCAACUACAGAACCUCAUGGUAC
rnacentral:piRNA from 1 species